AGGUGUUGUUGGGUAGGGGAGCGUUCUGUAAGCCUGCGAAGGUGGCCUGUGAGGGUUGCUGGAGGUAUCAGAAGUGCGAAUGCUGACAUAAGUAACGAUAAAGCGGGUGAAAAGCCCGCUCGCCGGAAGACCAAGGGUUCCUGUCCAACGUUAAUCGGGGCAGGGUGAGUCGACCCCUAAGGCGAGGCCGAAAGGCGUAGUCGAUGGGAAACGGGUUAAUAUUCCCGUACUUGGUGUUACUGCGAAGGGGGGACGGAGAAGGCUAUGUUGGCCGGGCGACGGUUGUCCCGGUUUAAGCGUGUAGGCUGGUUUUCCAGGCAAAUCCGGAAAAUCAAGGCUGAGGCGUGACGACGAGGCACUACGGUGCUGAAGCAACAAAUGCCCUGCUUCCAGGAAAAGCCUCUAAGCAUCAGGUAACAUCAAAUCGUACCCCAAACCGACACAGGUGGUCAGGUAGAGAAUACCAAGGCGCUUGAGAGAACUCGGGUGAAGGAACUAGGCAAAAUGGUGCCGUAACUUCGGGAGAAGGCACGCUGACACGUAGGUGAAGUGAUUUACUCACGGAGCUGAAGUCAGUCGAAGAUACCAGCUGGCUGCAACUGUUUAUUAAAAACACAGCACUGUGCAAACACGAAAGUGGACGUAUACGGUGUGACGCCUGCCCGGUGCCGGAAGGUUAAUUGAUGGGGUCAGCGCAAGCGAAGCUCCUGAUCGAAGCCCCGGUAAACGGCGGCCGUAACUAUAACGGUCCUAAGGUAGCGAAAUUCCUUGUCGGGUAAGUUCCGACCUGCACGAAUGGCGUAAUGAUGGCCAGGCUGUCUCCACCCGAGACUCAGUGAAAUUGAACUCGCUGUGAAGAUGCAGUGUACCCGCGGCAAGACGGAAAGACCCCGUGAACCUUUACUAUAGCUUGACACUGAACAUUGAGCCUUGAUGUGUAGGAUAGGUGGGAGGCUUUGAAGUGUGGACGCCAGUCUGCAUGGAGCCGACCUUGAAAUACCACCCUUUAAUGUUUGAUGUUCUAACGUGGACCCGUGAUCCGGGUUGCGGACAGUGUCUGGUGGGUAGUUUGACUGGGGCGGUCUCCUCCUAAAGAGUAACGGAGGAGCACGAAGGUUGGCUAAUCCUGGUCGGACAUCAGGAGGUUAGUGCAAUGGCAUAAGCCAGCUUGACUGCGAGCGUGACGGCGCGAGCAGGUGCGAAAGCAGGUCAUAGUGAUCCGGUGGUUCUGAAUGGAAGGGCCAUCGCUCAACGGAUAAAAGGUACUCCGGGGAUAACAGGCUGAUACCGCCCAAGAGUUCAUAUCGACGGCGGUGUUUGGCACCUCGAUGUCGGCUCAUCACAUCCUGGGGCUGAAGUAGGUCCCAAGGGUAUGGCUGUUCGCCAUUUAAAGUGGUACGCGAGCUGGGUUUAGAACGUCGUGAGACAGUUCGGUCCCUAUCUGCCGUGGGCGCUGGAGAACUGAGGGGGGCUGCUCCUAGUACGAGAGGACCGGAGUGGACGCAUCACUGGUGUUCGGGUUGUCAUGCCAAUGGCACUGCCCGGUAGCUAAAUGCGGAAGAGAUAAGUGCUGAAAGCAUCUAAGCACGAAACUUGCCCCGA
rnacentral:rRNA from 1 species